AUUGAACGCUGGCGGCAUGCCUUACACAUGCAAGUCGAACGGUAACAGGGAGCUUGCUCCGCUGACGAGUGGCGAACGGGUGAGUAAAGUAUCGGAACGUACCUUUCAGUGGGGGAUAACUAUCCGAAAGGAUAGCUAAUACCGCAUAUUCUGUGAGCAGGAAAGCAGGGGAUCGCAAGACCUUGCGCUGAUUGAGCGGCCGAUAUCAGAUUAGCUAGUUGGUGAGGUAAAGGCUCACCAAGGCGACGAUCUGUAGCGGGUCUGAGAGGAUGAUCCGCCACACUGGAACUGAGACACGGUCCAGACUCCUACGGGAGGCAGCAGUGGGGAAUUUUGGACAAUGGGCGCAAGCCUGAUCCAGCCAUGCCGCGUGAGUGAAGAAGGCCUUCGGGUUGUAAGACGUCUUUUGUUCCGGGUAGGCGAGUCCUACUCGGCUAUAUCUGGUGGGGAGUGAGAGUACUGGAGAAUAAGACACCGGCUACGUACG
rnacentral:rRNA from 1 species